CUUUUGAUACAUUUAUUUUGCAUUUAGCAUCUAUGCAGCAUAAUCGCAUCUCUGGAAAAACUCACUCACAUUCAAGAAGUCCUGCGCUGCGUUCGCUUUCAUCUUUGUCGGCUGGCUGUUUGUGGAGAUACUUGGAUAGCUGCUGGGUUUUCGACUGGGAAAACUGCGGGAAAACUGAAGGGAAGCACACAUGCAAACACUCACACACGGAUGAACAAUCGCUUUUCCUGCUGCCUGGAAAAACUGAGCCAACAAAAAUUGUUUUUAAUUGGCGCCCAAUUCGAAGCAAGCCCGAAAAUUAAACAAACAAUUUGAUGAGGCAAAGCCAAAAAUCGUAGAUGUGCAAUUGUUUCACAAUUUGAUCAUGAAAAUCCAUUUUCAUGGGGAAACAUCAACUUCAAAAUGCCAGCGAAAGUUUGGAAUUUCGAAAAAUCAUUUUUUCAAGGAUACUGUCAAGGAUCAAGGAUCAUGUGGGUAAAUGGCUUUCCAGGUAACUUUCACUGGCGUUUCCAGGAGCCUUUCCUACCUUUUACCAAAAAGCAAUUGCACUGGCACGCUGACUCAUGGACGGCAAUUUCAAAAGGAAUUUGAAAUCGAGCUGGGAACAACAAAUGCAACAAAAACAACAGAAACAGCAAGAAGUGCAACAACAAGAAAAGCGGCAGCAAUUGCAAUCAUUUACAUAAAAA
rnacentral:sRNA from 1 species